rfam:Brassica napus, WGS project CCCW01000000 data, contig: 16400
GAUCAGAUGAUGAGCUAAUACUGCAACAAUAUGAUCUUCAUGAUUCUUAGUAUUUAAGUCUCUGAUGAUC